AUUGAACGCUGGCGGCAUGCUUUACACAUGCAAGUCGAACGGUAACAGGCCUUCGGGUGCUGACGAGUGGCGAACGGGCGAGUAAUGCAUCGGAACGUGCCCAGAGGUGGGGGAUAACGCAGCGAAAGCUGUGCUAAUACCGCAUGUGAUCUGAGGAUGAAAGCGGGGGACCAGGCAGCAAUGUUUGGCCUCGCGCCUUUGGAGCGGCCGAUGGCAGAUUAGGUAGUUGGUGGGGUAAAGGCCUACCAAGGCGACGAUCUGUAGCUGGUCUGAGAGGACGACCAGCCACCCUGGGACUGAGACACGGCCCAGACUCCGAAGGUGGGCCGCAGUGGGGAAUUUUGGACAAUGGGCGCAAGCCUGAUCCAGCACUGCCGCGUGCGGGAAGAAGGCCUUCGGGUUGUAAACCGCUUUUGUCCGGAACGAAAAGGCUCUGGCUAAUACCUGGGGCUGAUGACGGUACCGUAAGAAUAAGCACCGGCUAACUACGUG
rnacentral:rRNA from 1 species